UGGCGGCUCUGGACGCCUUGGAAAAGGAAUACCUGCCUACCCACAUGGCGCGCGAGCGUCAGAGACAAGUGAUGGAAACGAUAAGACAAACCGUGAGAAAUUUCUGGGACCUGCCAUAUUUAGAGGAUGCCUUUAUGGGGGUUAUAGGUGAGGGCAGGGUAGAGCGUGGGAACCCCGGGUCGUGGAAAAAGAGGAGUCUGGUGCUAGGAUUCCUGGGAGCAGGGACGGGGCGCGGGGAGGGAGGGAAGGGCCGGAGCCAGAGUCUACUGGGUUCGUGAUGGAGAGGGCUGAGAUGCAGAUGCCAGGGCUUUCCGAGCGCUAGGAAAUACUGUGUUCUCCUACCCCUGACCCUGCAAUUUUAUGUACAAAACUACAACUCCCAGAAGGCAACAGACAGGCAAUCCUUUACAGCCCUAGCCUUGCCCAAUAGCCACAUGGGCAUUGUAGUUUUUAACACUAGCUGAGCCAAUGGGACCACAAGGCUUCGAAUCUGAGGUUCUAUCUCCCCUCCCCGCAUCCCCCGUGUCCCUCCAGAUGAGGCCACGAUGGAAACGUCAGUGUUGGGUUUUCUGAGGAGUAUGACACUUAUCACAAACAGUGACAUAGCAGGUAAAUGGCACAGUGGCCAGGGGAGGGGCUUCGGAAUCCUUUGGCUCUGGAGCCAAACUGCCUAGGUUCAAACACCGGCCCUGUCAUCCCCUGGCUGUGUGGCCUUUAGGGAGGGAUAUCACAGCUUUGUCACCUCCGAACUGGGUCAUAACGGUGCCUGCACCCAGGCCAGUGACUUAGCCCAGUGGCCAGCAUGGUUAAGUGGUCAUUCAAUUUCACUGCGCCUCCCGGAGAUGGCCCCAACCUGGAACGCCAGCCUCUUCAGACGGGUACCUGUACCUCCUCCUGGGGUGGGUGGGAGGAGGGGUCGCCCUCUGUCACCCUGCUCUUUCCCAGAUGACACUUUCGUGAAGGAGUUCUCCUGGAUGUUGACUCUGGAAAAGGCAGCCUUUCAGCGCAAUGUUGCUCGGUUCCAAAGAGAGGGUGAGGGAAGAUGGGUUCCCUCAGGGACCACAGCCCCUUCCUCCACCAGUCCCGGGGUCCCCGUCCCCAGUCCUCUGCUUCUCUAUGUCCAGCCCCUCACCUCUCCCAACAGCGUCCUCCCUCCAACCCAAGAGCCCAAACCCCAACCUAUUCCUUCUCCCCCUCUCUCGUGUCCUUUAACUUAGAAAUCUCAUCACUUUUUUUUUUUUCUUCCUUCUGAGGCAGAUUUCUGUCCCAACAAAUGUGGUGAGUCCAGAUUAGGGAAGCUGGUUUUCUAUCCCCCAUUCUGGCCCCGGUUAAUACCCAGCCUUUCUCCUCCUGCUUUGGGUCUCGAUGGUUCUUCCUUCCCCACGUCUGAGAGGUUCCUGGUCCCCAGUAGUCCUUCUGCACAGCGGACUUCCUGGGCGACGGGUCCUAUUCCAUGUGGGCUCCUCACUGAGCCCGGUUAGGUCCCUCUUCCGGCAGGUCUGCCUUCUAGCCCCGCCCCUUGGGCUGACCUCUCGGGAUUAGGCGCUGGGCCCCGCCCCAGCCCUUGACCCUGCCCUCUCCUUUUAGUCUCUUCUAUCAGGAUAAAUGCAACCUUGAUCCUGCCCCUUCAGGUAUGAUGUUGCAGCCUCUGAUCUGGUGCAGUAAUUGUAAAAAGCAGCUUCACGUUUGUCGAAAGUCCACAGAUUGCGGUGGUGAGAGAGCUGGGGCCAGCUGGAGGGAGUGGGGGUUGACUCAAGAGGGGCGGAGCCAGAGGAGAGCCGGGGUCUAGAGAGGCCAAAGAAAGGAGCCGGCCCACCAGAAAAGUGGGGGCCAAGACCAAGUGCGAGGGAGUUGAGGGAGAACCAAGAUGCAUCCCACCGUAACCGCCUGUCCCCAGUGCGCCAAAUCAACGUCCACGAAAAGGAAGACUUGGUCCUGGACUGUGAGCUCAACUGGCAUAAAUUAUCUCAAGGCCUGACCUAUUACAGCUUUUACAGGGUGGGCCCUUCAACCCCAUCAACCCCAAGUCCAUUAGGCUUGGUUGAGCGCCCACCCCGGUAUCCACAAGCUUGUUGCCACAAUCCCCAUGACCCAUGACCUACCAGGUUUGACUUCUACGGGUCCCCGGGGACCCCAUGCCCUUACCAGUAACCCUAGACUCCCAUCUCCCCCACUGAGAUCCCGUGAUGCUCUCACACCUGUACUUCCCCAAACCCUGAACUCCCCAGGCCUCUGUGACCCCUUGAGCUUGGGUCUAGGUUUGGGGGAGCAAUUCUGAGACCUUGGUGUACAAGGGGAAACAGCCCACCCUGACCAAGCCCCUGGUGGGGCCAGAGGAUGCAGGUGACUACCGCUGUGAGUUGGGCACUGUGAGAUCCCUCCCAGCCACGGUCAUCCAUUUUAAAGUCACAGGUCAGAGCUGGGGAGUCGACGGAAGUGUGGGAAUCAGGGUCCUGGGGUUAGGGGACAGUCAGCUUGGGGCAUGGCCUAUGGGGCAAAACUUCCUGUCGGGGUGUCAUUUCAGGCCACGGGGGUGUGGCCACCCGCCACGGUGGCCGGGGUCCAGGCAGAAAGGGUCGCGAUUGUCUCCUCCAAGGCCCGGGUCUUGGGGGAAGGUUGGAGGGGGGGGAGCUUGCCUGGGCCACGGGGGACCUUGGUGGCCUCCCAAGGCUGCUCUUUCUCUCUCCUCUAUCAGUGUUGCCUCAGAGAAUCAUAGAGGAGACACCGACAUCAAACUUUGAAACCGAGGAGCAGCUGUCCCCAACCCUCCAGCCUUCAGAGUACCCUAAGCCCGAGAAGGUGCUGAGAAGCCUUCUGGCAGGGCUGCUGAUCUGGGGCUUUGUGGUGCUGAUCAUCAGCUUUGUCACCGCGUGAGCCAACCCUGAUGAAGGCGGGGCACGAACAGAGGGACGGGGUCUCCAAAUCCCAAUGCAGGAGGGGGUCCUUUAAGGGAGAGGCCUUAGAAAAUGGUAGCGAUGAUCCAGCCUGGGUCAUUGCUGGAGUAAGACCAAAUAUAGGGAGGCGAGGAGGGCUAUCCCUCAAGACCUAACCUGGUUCCACUAUCUGCCCCCCGCCCUCCCCCAGCGUACUUUGCUUUCUGCCUGGGAACGUGAUGGAUUCCAUAAAGUCCUGGGUCCUCACAAACAGAGCAGCCGCCCUGCAGAGCCAGGUUCCGAAGGUACCGAAAGGAAACGACACAGCACCAAGUCACAAAUAAAGAUUUAUCUGGUUGCCUAAAUACCGGAUUCAUUUCCUCGGGUCUGAUCCUCAUUUUGGCUUUCCGAGAGGAGAGGUCUGGGGCUCGCCUCCUGUCCUAGAAGGAGAGCCCGGGAACCCGGGUCCCUUGGUCAUGGCAGGGCCCCCCGGCUGAGAUGUAAUUCCCCAAUCGAGGAGUGGGGAAGGGCCAGCCCUACCCAGAUCUCCUCCCCCAGCCUCGCCCCCUCACAGGACGCCCCCUCCCCGCUCUUCCAGCCCAGUUUCCUCUGGCCUUUUCCUGUCCCCCAGCCAGGGCUGGGAGCCGGGGCAGAGGGGUCAAGAACCAACCCGGGUCAACGAAGACAGGGCGCCGAGGUGCUGGUGGGACCCGAAGCAGAGUAAGAACCGCGGGACCAGGGGUCCACACCCCUCCUGCAUCAGACCCAAGAGCCGGUCCCCAGCCAUCUUCCACGCCAGUUCCCAGGAGUUAAGCUCCCAUCCUUCUCCUCCACCCAGACUCAUUAGUCUGACCCCAGCCCCCUCCACCCCAACGCGACCGCACAAGGGCCUCAUCUGGGAAGACGAGAUGAAAGUUCUAGUCAGAGAGGGGUCUGUCUGCGAGAUCCUGGAACAAUAGGCGGGGCCUCCCUUUGUUGCCGCCCAAUCAGACUCAGAGUUGGGUUUGUGGGCGGGGCCAAGGAAACUCGCCCAGAGUGUCACUAGAGAAGUCGGCGCCCCAAGGAGAAAGGAAGAAGAGGGACUCUGUGGGAUUGAGGUGACCUUCGAGUCUGACUCCAGUCAUAAAGCUCUCCACGUCAUGUGACCAACCUCACCCUCGAUCCACAACAUCCUCAAUUUUAGCCGUGGCAAAUAGAGUGGAAGGACGUGGCCUGCUCGUCCCCUCCAAAGGCCCCCAGCUUGGAUUCGGCCCUUCAGCGAACCCUAGUAUUCCAGGGUGCAACAUUCAAGGUCAAGGUCGGGCAGCGGCUGUCUAGGGUGCAUCGGGACUCCGGACUCCUCGGUUUCCUAACCGAAAAGGGGGAGCCCUGCAAAUUGGGGGGUCUUAAUCUCGGGGAAGGGGUUCUUUCCGGUCAGCGAUCACCCCUUCCGUGUGGGGUGGACGGACCCUCCCCGGGGUUCUGCUGGGGCUGAGCGCCCUGGGGAAAUGGGUCCCCAAGUUGCCCUCCUGGUGGUGGCGCUAGCCGGCUGCCUGCUUCCUGCCCGGAGCUGUGUCACGUGUGAUCGAAGGGUCGUGGCCGCGCUGGACGCCUUGGAAAAGGAAUACCUGCCUACCCACCUGGCGCCCGAGCGUCACAGAGAAGUGAUGGAAAAGAUAAGACAAACCGUGAGGGAUUUCCGGGACCUGCCGGAUUUAGAGGAUACCUUUCUGGGGGUUAUCGGUGAGGGCAGGGUAGAGAGUGCGAAUCCAGGGGUGGAGGGAAAAGAGGGGUCUGCGUUCUAGGAUUGUUGCGGGAGCGGGCAGGAGGGAAGGAAGCGAAAGACUGGAGGGAGACUGUACUGGGUUCGUGAAUGGAGAAGGCUGGGAUGCAGAUUCCAGGCCUUCCCCAGGGCAGACCAAUACACUGUUCCCCUAGUCCUUACGUGGCAAUUUUACGUGGGAAAAAAAAAUACAACUCCCAGAAGGCAACGGGCGUGCCAGCCAUUUACAGCCCUGGGCUGGUCCAGUAGCCUCAUGGGUAUUGUAGUUUUUAACACCUGCUGAGCCAAGAGACCUCAAGGCUCGGGAUCUGAGGUUCUAGCUCCCCUCCCCGCAUCCUCUGUGUCCCUCCAGAUGAGGCCACAAUGGAAACGUCAGUCUUGAGUUUUCUGCGGAGUGUGAGACUUAUCAGAAACAGUGAUGUAGCAGGUAAAUCCACAUAGGGGCCAAGGGAGGGGCUCCAGAAACUUUUCGAGAAAUGAUUGUUGGUGAGGACGGGUCUGGUAGUCGCUCUGGAGCCCACCUGCCUCGGUUCAAAUUCCGGGCCGGUCAUCCCCUAGCUCUGUGGCCUGUAGGGAGGGGCUUUGCAACUUUGUCACCUCUCAAAUGGGUCCUAACGGUGCCUGCAGGCCAGGGGCCGCUUAGCUCAGUGGCCAGCAUUGUUAAGUGGUCAUUCAAUUUCAUUGUCCCUCCCUGAGGUGGCCCCAACGCGGAAUGCCAAUCUCUUCACACAGAAGGAACUUCCUGUAUCUCCUCCUGCGGUGGGCGGGGGAGGGGUACCACUCUAUGUCACCCUGCUCCUUCCCAGAUGACACUUUCGUGAAGGAGUUCUCCUGGAUGUUGACUCUGGAAAAGGCAGCCUUUCGUGGCUACGUCACUCGAUUCCAAAGAGAGGGUGAGGGAAGAUGGCUUCUGUCAGGGACCACAGCCCCUUCCCUCAACAGGCCCAGGGACCCUGUCCCCAGCCCCCUGCUUUCUAUGUCCAACCACUCACCUCUCCCGACCCGGUCCUCCCUUGGACCCAGAGAUUCAGACACCCGGGUCCUUCUUCCCUCCAACCCAAGAGCCCAAACCCAACCUAUUCCUGCCCCCCCCCCCCAUCCCCUUUAACAGGAAUCUGAUAAUUCUCUUUUCUUCCUUCUGAGGCAGAUUUCUGUCCCAACAAAUGUGGUGAGUCCGGAUUAUGGGAACUGGUUUUCUAUCCUUCAUCCUUGCCGCGUGAAUACCCAGCCUUUCUCCUCCGGCUUUGGGUCUCGGUGGUUCUUCCUUCCCCACGUCUGAGAGGUUCCUGGUCCCCAGUAGUCCUUCUGCACAGCGGACUUCCUGGGCAACGGGUCCUAUUCUCUGGGCGCUCUUUCCUGAGACUGGUUACACCCCUCUUCAGGGAGGACUGCCUUCUGGCCCCGCCCCUUGGGCUGACCUCUAGGGAUUAGGCGCCUGCCUCCGCCCCCGACCUUGGCCCUGCCUUUAGCCUCGCCUCUCAGGGCGAAUACAGCCUGGAUCCUGUCCCUUCAGGUACAAUGUUGCAGCUUCUGAUCUGGUGCAGUAACUGUAAAAAGCAGCUUCACGCUUGUCG
rnacentral:lncRNA from 1 species